rnacentral:lncRNA from 1 species
UAUUUUUGAACAUGGAUGGAUGUGAAUACAUUAUCAUUUACAUAAAUCUCUUUAUCUUCAUGACUUGGUCCAGGUUCAGACUGUGUGUCCAACAACAGUGCAGAGUGGCUGAUGAAGAAUCUGGGUCCGUUCUCACAGUUCUUGUCCCUCAAAGAGCUGCUUCACCUCAACCCACAAUUUAACCCUCUGGAGGUCCUUCGACUCCUGACUCCUAAUCAGACUGCAGAGCUGCUGGUGUUGACUCUUCCGGCUCUUCCAGACAAAGACGUCCUCAUUAAUAAGAUCUUUGAUCACCUGACUGAGUCUCCUGACCAGAAGAAAUUCACAGAGUUCCUGUCCAGCCUCACCAUGUUGCCCCAGCUGGGAAACUUCUCCUGUGCAACAUUCAGAGCACUGUAAGUUCAUGUUCACAUUUGAUUAUAUAUAAAUAUGUUUUAAUAAGUAUAUGAAAAACAAAAUUGUGAUAUUAAUCCCACAUGUUGCUGUUGUAGGUUUGACAGAAUGGACCUGGCCAUGACGAAUGUUUCUCUUGAUGUAGUGUCAUCCAUCACAUACAGCAAGAUGACUUUAUCCAGGCACAUACCACCAGGUGAGGAGAACAGAAUGUAAAGUACUAAUGACAUUUAUAUAAUGUAAAAUAAUAUAUUUACUCAUUCUGUGUAAGUUCUGUGCUGUAUCA